rnacentral:tRNA from 1 species
UAAAAAUUAGUUAAUGUGUGAUAAUAUUAAAAUGUCAUUUUAAAGUAAUUAAUUAGUUAAUAUUUUUAA